AACGAACGCUGGCGGCAUGCCUAACACAUGCAAGUCGAACGAACCCUUCGGGGUUAGUGGCGCACGGGUGCGUAACGCGUGGGGAUCUGCCCUUUGCUUCGGAAUAACAGUUAGAAAUGACUGCUAAUACCGGAUGAUGUCGAAAGACCAAAGAUUUAUCGGCAAAGGAUGAACCCGCGUAGGAUUAGCUAGUUGGUAGGGUAAAGGCCUACCAAGGCGACGAUCCUUAGCUGGUCUGAGAGGAUGAUCAGCCACACUGGGACUGAGACACGGCCCAGACUCCUACGGGAGGCAGCAGUGGGGAAUAUUGGACAAUGGGCGAAAGCCUGAUCCAGCAAUGCCGCGUGAGUGAUGAAGGCCUUCGGGUUGUAAAGCUCUUUUACCAGGGAUGAUAAUGACAGUACCUGGAGAAUAAGCUUCGGCUAACUCCGUGCCAGCCGCCGCAGUAAAAC
rnacentral:rRNA from 1 species